rnacentral:rRNA from 1 species
UUAUCUCGAUCACGAACGAGACCUCGCCUUGCCUAAAUAGUAGACUAAACUCUUCGGGGUUGGGAUCGAGUUUUUAGAGGGAAUUUUGGUGUGUAGCCAAAGGAAGUUUGAGGCAAUAACAGGUCUGUGAUGCCCUUAGAUGUUCUGGGCCGCACGCGCGCUACACUGAUCGGUUCAUCGAGCAUAUAACCUUGACUGAUAGGUCUGGGUAAUCUUGUGAAAACCGGUCGUGCUGGGGAUAGAUCAUUGCAAAAGGGAUCUUCAACGAGGAAUGCCUAGUAAGCGCGAGUCAUCAACUCGCAUGAUUACGUCCCUGUCCCUAAAACCC